CUCACUUGAUUUGGAAGUAACUGGAAGGCUGACGGGAGGCUGUAGCAGCGGUGACGGAGUAGUAAUAGUAAAUGAGACCGGACGUGUUGCGAAAGAGGAGCUGUCGGACCUGCAGAGGAUAAAGCUGUCCGAGACCUCUUUUUCAUCACACUGACGUCCCCAGAGAGAGCCUGCUUGCGUUCUUCUGAGUGGUAACUGCAAACCAGCUCUGUAGUCUGAUUUACAUGACAAACGAAGAAUCAUCUGAUCAAGUGGCUGAAGAGCAACGCAACGGGCCAUCAUCCUCGCGAUUUUACCGAGCAGCCGAGAGGAGAGGGCUGAUCGAGGUCCGCGUGCACGGAGCUGCAGUGGCAGCUCGCCUCAUCUCUCCAUCGAACCUGGACGUCUCGCUGAUAGCGAGUGGAGGAAGUUGUAUCCAGACCUUUAAUUAAGUAAAAUCAACAGUUCCACAAUGUAGAACUACUCUAUACACUGUGAGUAUAAAUCCUGCUUUUUAUUUUUUUAUUAGCAAAAUGUAGUUUUAUGUAUGAAACUUUAAUCUGCAAGAUGAUGUAACAGCCCCUUUGAAAUGUAAUGAUUUAAGUAUAAAGAAGCAUUCAAUUAAAAUUGCACUUGUGUAAAUGUACUUGUGAAAUCCCACCAGUGAAUGUUUGUCUGCCAAUUUCAUCAAGGGAAUGUUUGAACAGUUUCCUACUCAGUGUCACAGCCACAAGGUGGCACUGUAACAGAACAUGUCAGAGGAUCUUCUUCAUUGGUACCUGUACCCACAGGUUGGUGUUUCAAGUAGACUGUUUCAGUCAAGUUAUUUUUUGUAAAAUGCUUUAUUUCUCAUAACUCAUAUGUGGGAUGUGAUUUUGUUGGAAAAACAAAACUGGUAAAAUAUAAUCACAAGUUUAGUUUUUAGCAUGUAUUGGUCCUAAAGUGAUUUUUUUCUAUUGCUCCAUAUUAAAUGUAAAGUGACAGCAGAUUACCUCUGGAUUCCCUGAAUGAAGGGUUCAAUAUCUUCUCCUUAAACCCCCUCCUCACUCGAUUGAACAUGAAUACACAGAAUAUAUGGAAUAGCUAAAUACAUACAAGUCUAUCUUGACAUUUUCAUUAACUCUUCAAGCUCCAUUGCAUGUCGCCCGAGUCAAACAAGAUUUAACCAUGAGAAGCAAGGCUGGUGUGCAAGUACAUGGUGAACACACUGGUGAGUCUACAUUGUCUCUUGUUUUAUUCCAUCAAUUCGUUACAAAAAGUAGCGCCAAUAUGAGAGCAGUUUUCCGCCUGCCUCAAAACAGUACAACAAAUUUUACAGAGAUGUUUUGAAACAAAUUUUAGUUCAAUAAAUAAACAGGCUGGCAAGUGCAAAAAUGUUCAGAGAUCACAGUUCAUACAUCUUAAUGUAACAACCGACACCAUAUCUGUGUCCGAAUGCUCAAAGCAUUCCUUCUCUUCUUCUUACAUUAAAAGUGACGCUCUGGAAGAGAUGUCUACAAAAAAAAUACGAUUUGGAGGCUAAAAAAGGAAAUUAACUUAAUUUGGUGAAAAAAACAGGGCACAAAUAACAAUGUGCCAACACUGACCGUGGCAAAUUAUUUAACAAAAACAUGAAGUUUGGCCCAUGAUUAAGCCUCCAUUAACAAACGCUAACAACUGGGUUAAGAGUUAUGCAAUUCACAGGCAAACACACAAGUCACACACAACAAGCCAAGUGUUUUGGCUUGUGCAUUAAGGCAUAUGGAACAUGCCUUAUGCUCAGGCACUAUACUAGGGACUGUUGCACAGACCCCACUGUUGUUAUCUCUAGAAUGGUGGAAGUUGAAUCUACAAGACUGGAGUACUGGAGCCAGCUGUAUUUAAGGUGAACCAUGCAAACAUCUAUUACUGAUUUUCUUGUUUUAAGCCAUCUGUGUCACUGAGCUAUAUUGGCCAAGCUGAACUGUGCUCUGAGCUAUAGUGCAAGUUUAAAAUGAGCGAGCCUCUCUGACUGAUGAACUCUCAUUCCUUCAAAAUUUAAAAGAUAGAAGAACAGCUGAUGUUGUAAAGGGAAGGCUUCCCAAACAUCAGUUGAAAAAGUAGUGAUGAGUGGUCUAUUGAAGAUGGAAAUUAAUUGUCAACUAAUCAGAGGAGCUAAUUAACAUAUAAGCGAAGGACUGAGCUCAAGUCGGCGUGGCAUUCAGCAGCAUACGUUUCAGGGGAUCUCAUAAGCCUGUGCCAUCCACAUGCAUAUGGGACGGAACGAGUACAUUCAAAGGCAACUCCAGUGACAUUCCUCUUCUCAACAAGUCAUUUUUACAUCCAGCAAUGUUGGAUUAACAGGACUGCGCCGCUUACUACAGGAAAAAGAGCAAAGAAAAGUAACAGAAAUUAGACAUUUUUAGACAAACUCAAAAACCCGUGCAGCCCUGUGAAAGAGGAGAAAAGUAACUGUAAAGGGUUAUAAGGCAGUUGUCCAGCAGGUUGGGAGGCCAGGAGAACAUGCAAGAGAAACAUUGUGAACAUUAAUAAUACAUCAUGCAAAUACAGUCUGAAAUGAAAGCUUGUGCUCCUUGUCGCAUUUUAUUCUUGCUCAGCACAUCAUUAUCUGUUCACUUUGCGUACAUGAGUGCAAGUGCGCAGGGUGGCCCAGCGUCUUACCGAGAGUGCUACUUCCUCUUCGGGUUUUGCAGCCUCAUUGUCAGGACUGCCUCUCCCAGGGCUGUAAGCCAAUAGUGACUCGUCAACAUUACUACUAGGAGGAGCAAGGAGGAUUUCAAGAAGGCCAGAAAAACACCCUAUUCACCCAAAAGACUGCACACAACCCGUCCAGACAGAACACCUCACACGCCCACGCCCACACACACCUGGCCUGGAUGCUGCUAUUCAUCUGUCUCUCACAGCCGAAAUAUUUAAAUUUGUGUGGGUGUGAACUUCGAGAUGCAAAAUACUACCUGUUCAUUUCUAAGAGCAGAAAUCAACAGGUCGCCACAGCAUCACCGAGGACACAGAACGUUGUUCUUGCAGGUGGCCUGGUGUUCCAACAUUUUAACGGAUUCUUUGGUUGAGGGUUUUUGUUAUUUUUGACACUCUCCCAAACAGCGAGUUUAAAACUACACACAAACCACUCUGACACAACAGGAACCAAACGGUGCUUCCUGAGAAACGUUUCCAGAAAUGUGACAUACCAGCAACCACUCCUUUCCAUUUCACAGAGAUCAAAUUAGCCAAUGUAUACAUCAAAUGAACAAGAAAAGCAAUUUCAAGCAGAAACUAUAGGAUUGCACUGAACAGUGUCUGGGUUGACUCUAAAAUCAUUUCAAAGACAUUAUGUGCCUCCUGUGAACCCAAGAUUUAAAAAAAAAAAAAAUCAAUGAUUAUAAUUACAAUAACAACAAUAAUAAUGUUGCCAGCUCCUCUCAUCCUCUAGACCCUACCCUGGGGGUAUGUGUGGCACAUACGCUGAUGCAAAUGAAACACGUGAUUUCACAGCUAUUCUAUUACUAGCGUCUGUGCUUCCUCUUUGGUCACGUCAAUUCAUUGAUAUUCGUGGUAACAGAAUGUGAGACAAUAAACGCAACAGAGUACUGACAAAAAAAACCCUGCAUCUGUGAUCAUUCACACCUAAACAUGCUUUAUCAUCUAUGGUGCGUUUUGUUGACCUUCACAUUUGAACGUGCGUGUCAACACAAAACCCCCGUGAGGCACUUGGGGCAGCUUUGUGCUGCGUGACCUACAGCUCUGUGUAGGUGAGGGCUUCUUACAACAGCCCUUUAAGACAACGCUGACACUGUGACAGAGAAAAACAAUCAAAAAGCCUAAAGCACACAAUUACAACAUGCAACACUUGACAGAAAGAAAGCUUGGACAGAUUGAACAUACUGACCGAAUACACAACACUGAGACACAGAGAAAAGGUCGGAGGAGCCAUGACGAGGAUCAAGGACUGCUAGCGCCAUUAAAUGUUAAAGCCAUAUCAAGGGUUAGUCUGCAUAGUUGAAUAAAACAACCUUUUACCAUAGUUUUUUCUUGAUGUAUGCCGGGACUCCAAAGUAAAUGCAUCCACAGCAAGUCAGGAGGAGAACACUGACUACUUUGAUGAGAAAAAUGGGAAAAAAAAAUGGAGAUAUUUGAAGCUGAUGUAAUUAAUGUUUAAAAAAAAAAAAAAAAGAUGAGUGGCCAUGAGACCAACAAAUGUGGUGUCAUGUAAAUGUCUGACACCAUCCUGAUAUGAAAGGUUACCCUGAUAAAUACCAAGAACUUUCCUAUUAGGAAAUUAUUGCAGCAAAACUGUUGCUGUUGGUUAGAAUAGCAAUCAUUACUAUUAAGUCUUACAUGAAUGGAAAUCAUGUGCAAAACACAAACCACAGUAAAGUGAGGAAGUGACAGAUGCAGCCAUUGCCACAUAAAUAUGUUCAAAUGGUUGAAUGUGUCACUUUGUUCCCAUUUCCCAAACAAGAACAUGAUGCCCUCACAAGACCUCUAUAGUCUGCUGUGAUAUAGUCAUUCUGAGGCCAAGCAUGAUGUUAUUCGCGUCAAAAUUAUCUCUGUGCAUUCUUCAUCUAAUGUUCAAGGAUGAAGUUGAAACUUACCAGCCACGGAAACAGCGAUAGUCACAACAUAUUGGUUUCCUUUACUGCCUGUAAAAAAAAAAAAACAAAAGGGCAGAGACUUGUG